UCAUUGUCCCUUGCCGGGAACCUCCUAUUGUACUGCCUGUGUCCUUGAAAGAAAGCAUACCACAGACUGUACCUAACAGAGUCGAUUUAGCGAGCUUCAUGUUCCACGUAAAUGGCAACCUUUACUUGCUGUAACUCUAGACCUCAGUGAAGAUGAUGGAAUUAGCCUGUGUCAGAUGAAGAGAGGGGGACCUUUGCAACUCAACAUGGCAAAUAUUUUAAGGAGUUGAGGAUGGUGAAAUAUCUACACGAAGACAUGAUUCAAACCACAAAUGACAAAUACCUAACAUCACAAACGAUCAUGAGAAUGAGUGAGACGAGAGAACAGGUGUCCGUGACUUGGACUGAUGCCCAGGUCUCAGUGAGGACCUCAUCAGACAGGCAGAGGGAAAGCAGGAGGAAGCAGUUCUUAC